rnacentral:lncRNA from 1 species
UAUUUCACAAAACUCUACUGAGCCUUUUUUGAACCUUUUUGAAUAAAAAGACCCUUUUAAAGUUCUGACGAGGCGUUAGCAUUCUAGGUUUCAUAUUGGACCACUGACUCAUCUUAGUAUUUUUUCCCCAUAAAACAGCAUAAUAGGAAUAAUAAUAAUAUGAUUGAGUGCUUGCUGUGGAAGAAGAUUCUGGAAGUGUUAAUGUUUUUGUGUGUUCUUGUCUAUAAAUAAAUAGCUGUUACAUAUAAGCUAUGUGCCAGUUCAGCCUUUGGUAGAAGAUGGUUUUCUGAGUAAAGAAAUCAUUUAUGUUGAAACUAAGCUAGAAUUCUACUUAAAGCUAUUAGUCUACCAGCAAGAGAUCAGGCUUGGACGGGCAUUCCAGAAGAUGUGUUUCAGACUUAAAAGCAAGAGUUGUACUCCCCCAAAUAUUGCAUCUAUAUUCAGUGAAUAUAAGGCUGCUGCUAUUCCUGAACUCGAAAGAUAAAAAUGAGGAAAAGGAAGGAAGGGAUAGCCAACUUACAUAGGAUUCUGCAGGUGGCUGUUGACUGGAAUCACUUUUUUCUGUUUUCCUCCCAUGAUUAGGACACUUUCCUUCCUCACGUGGAAUGUGGGACGAUCACUCUGAUUGGGGCAACCACUGAAAACCCUUCCUUCCAGGUCAACGCUGCUCUUCUGAGCCGCUGUCGAGUGAUUGUUCUUGAGAAGCUUCCAGUAGAGGCAAUGGUGACUAUUUUAAUGCGAGCGAUCAACUCCCUGGGAAUCCACGUCCUAGACUCUAGCCGUCCCACUGACCCUCUGAGCCACAGCAGCAACAGCAGCUCAGAGUAAGUUGACAGUGUGCAGCGUCCUGGGGGCACACACCUCCCAGAGAGUCUCCUGGCAGGGGGCCAGAAAGGGCCGGGCGUCAGUGAGGAGAGGGUGGGGACAGAGAAGAAAUGUUGAUCCGCCCGUAAUGAAAAUAAAAGAGGAGGGAAAUGUUCGAUUAUACCUAACAAAGUUAUCCCUGCACACUUGAAGAUGCAUUUUCCAGCCUCUAAUAUGUGUUUCUAUAAUUCUUCAAGCUUUAACUUUGCUUUGUUGUUUUGGUUCUUGGGUGUUUGCUUUUGUGCUUAGGCUUCUAUGGGAAGCCUUAUUGAUGAUUUGAAAGGCUUUAUGUCCCUCAUUGAAUAGAACAAAUAG